rnacentral:rRNA from 1 species
AACGAACGCUGGCGGCAGGCUUAACACAUGCAAGUCGAACGGGUGUAGCAAUACAUCAGUGGCAGACGGGGGAGUAACACGUGGGAACCUUCCUAGAGGUACGGAACAACUCAGGGAAACUUGAGCUAAUACCGUAUAAGCUCUUGCGAGGAAAGAUUUAUCGCCUUUAGACGGGCCCGCGUAGGAUUAGGUAGUUGGUGGGGUAAUGGCCUACCAAGCCUACGAUCCUUAGCUGAUCUGAGAGGAUGAUCAGCCACACUGGGACUGAGACACGGCCCAGACUCCUACGGGAGGCAGCAGUGGGGAAUCUUGGACAAUGGGCGCAAGCCUGAUCCAGCCAUGCCGCGUGAGUGAAGAAGGCCUUCGGGUUGUAAAGCUCUUUUACCAGGGACGAUAAUGACGGUACCUGGAGAAUAAGCCCCGGCAAACUUCGUGCCAGCCGCCGCCGUAA